rnacentral:rRNA from 1 species
CUCCCAAACCCCUGUGAACAUACCAAUUGUUGCCUCGGCGGAUCAGCCCGCUCCCGGUAAAACGGGACGGCCCGCCAGAGGACCCCUAAACUCUGUUUCUAUAUGUAACUUCUGAGUAAAACCAUAAAUAAAUCAAAACUUUCAACAACGGAUCUCUUGGUUCUGGCAUCGAUGAAGAACGCAGCAAAAUGCGAUAAGUAAUGUGAAUUGCAGAAUUCAGUGAAUCAUCGAAUCUUUGAACGCACAUUGCGCCCGCCAGUAUUCUGGCGGGCAUGCCUGUUCGAGCGUCAUUUCAACCCUCAAGCCCAGCUUGGUGUUGGGACUCGCGAGUUAAAUCGCGUUCCCCAAAUUGAUUGGCGGUCACGUCGAGCUUCCAUAGCGUAGUAGUAAAACCCUCGUUACUGGUAAUCGUCGCGGCCACGCCGUUAAACCCCAACUUCUGAAUGUUGACCUCGGAUCAGGUAGGAAUACCCGCUGAACUUAAGCAUAUC